UUAUUUAUGACAGAGUUUGGAGGUCUGCUGUGCUCACAUAUGGGUUAUGGGAUCAACUUCGCAUUGAUUGUGGUACUGAGUUCUAUUUAACUAUUUAUAUUCAGGCAAAUCUUUGGAGCAUUUAUGGACCACCCAAUAUACGUCCAUUUUGUCAGACUACUUCAACACAAAAUUUGUGUUGAAAGAAUAUGGCCUCACAUUAACUCCAGAGUGAACUAUCCUAUUAAGAGAAUUCUUCUCUGGAUGGAGCAACAUGAACACAUUGAUAUGACUUGUGA